rnacentral:rRNA from 1 species
UACAGAGGUCUCAAGCGUUGUUCGGAUUCAUUGGGCGUAAAGGGUGCGUAGGCGGCGCGGUAAGUCGGGUGUGAAAUCUCGGGGCUUAACUCCGAAACUGCAUUCGAUACUGCCGUGCUUGAGGACUGGAGAGGAGACUGGAAUUUACGGUGUAGCGGUGAAAUGCGUAGAUAUCGUAAGGAAGACCAGUGGCGAAGGCGAGUCCCUGGACAACACCUGACACUGAGGCACGAAAGCUAGGGGAGCAAACAGG